rnacentral:tRNA from 2 species
GCCCAGAUAGCUCAGUCGGUAGAGCAACGGACUGAAAAUCCGUGUGUCGCUGGUUCGAUUCCGGCUCUGGGCA